AUGAUUUUCUAGAUUUGGGGUCCCUGUAGUGGACAGACUAAUUUGUACUAAAGUGUAAAUUGCUAACAGUACAAUGUUUUCAGUGGAAUAUCUAAAUAGGGAAGCACUUUAAUCCAAACAAUUGGAGUUGCAGGAGCUUUUAGAAGAAAUUGGGGGAGAUUUUUGAAGGCAAUUGUUUUUUGGGGGAGUAGAGAGAUUCCCAUUAUGAUUGUCCAUCCAUUUCACCUGAAUGUGAGUUAGCCCUCCAGUGUUGGAGAAGGGUGGGGCAUUUUCCAAGCCUUGUAUGCUGUCAAAAGUCAGGGGAGUAAAGGAGCAACGAUGGUUCAGCCUAGGCCUCUCCAUCUCUUCUGCAUUCCCUUCCU
rnacentral:lncRNA from 1 species